UUAGAGUUUGAAUCCUGUAUCAGGAUGAACGCNGGCGGCGUGCCUAAUACAUGCAAGUCGAGCGAAUGGAUUAAGAGCUUGCUCUUAUGAAGUUAGCGGCGGACGGGUGAGUAACACGUGGGUAACCUGCCCAUAAGACUGGGAUAACUCCGGGAAACCGGGGCUAAUACCGGAUAACAUUUUGAACCGCAUGGUUCGAAAUUGAAAGGCGGCUUCGGCUGUCACUUAUGGAUGGACCCGCGUCGCAUUAGCUAGUUGGUGAGGUAACGGCUCACCAAGGCAACGAUGCGUAGCCGACNUGAGAGGGUGAUNGGCCACACUGGGACUGAGACACGGCCCAGACUCCUACGGGAGGCAGCNGUAGGGAAUCUUCCGCAAUGGACGAAAGUCUGACGGAGCAACGCCGCGUGAGUGAUGAAGGCUUUCGGGUCGUAAAACUCUGUUGUUAGGGAAGAACAAGUGCUAGUUGAAUAAGCUGGCACCUUGACGGUACCUAACCAGAAAGCCACGGCUAACUACGUGCCAGCAGCCGCGGUAAUACGUAGGUGGCAAGCGUUAUCCGGAAUUAUUGGGCGUAAAGCGCGCGCAGGUGGUUUCUUAAGUCUGAUGUGAAAGCCCACGGCUCAACCGUGGAGGGUCAUUGGAAACUGGGAGACUUGAGUGCAGAAGAGGAAAGUGGAAUUCCAUGUGUAGCGGUGAAAUGCGUAGAGAUAUGGAGGAACCACCAGUGGCGAAGGCGACUUUCUGGUCUGUAACUGACACUGAGGCGCGAAAGCGUGGGAGCAA
rnacentral:rRNA from 1 species